AUUGAACGCUAGCGGCAGGCCUAACACAUGCAAGUCGAACGAGUGGCGGACGGGUGAGUAAUGUCUGGGAAACUGCCUGGUGGCGGGGGAUAACUACUGGAAACGGUAGCUAAUACCGCAUACCAUCAGAUGUGCCCAGAUGGGAUUAGCUAGUUGGUGGGGUAACGGCUCACCAAGGCGACGAUCCCUAGCUGGUCUGAGAGGAUGACCAGCCACACUGGAACUGAGACACGGUCCAGACUCCUACGGGAGGCAGCAGUGGGGAAUAUUGGACAAUGGGCGCAAGCCUGAUGCAGCCAUCCCGCGUGUAUGAAGAAGGCCUUCGGGUUGUAAAGUACUUUCGGCGGGGAAGCGUUACCCGCAGAAGAAGCACCGGCUAACUACGUGCCAGCAGCCGCGGUAAUAC
rnacentral:rRNA from 1 species